rnacentral:tRNA from 1 species
AAGAUUUUAAGUUAAGUUAAACUAAUAACCUUCAAAGUUAUAAAUAUAUAAAUAAAGUUAGGUCUUA